rnacentral:lncRNA from 1 species
CACUCACACACGCACAUGCAUGCACACACACAGGUUACUGUGAGGAGAUGAAUAUGUUUCUCACUUUAGUAAUCAUUUUACUGUGUGUGUAUACACGUUAAAGACCAAGUACAUUUUAAAUAUAUACAGUGUUUAUUUAAAAAUAAAAUUGACUAUCUAAAAAGAAACUUUAUAAUUGAGAAUUUAAAAAGCGAUAGCAUGAAAAAUGAAAUUGCCAUACUAGACACCAAAAUGAGAUAUCCUCAGGGGAAGACAUUAUUUACUACAAAAAUAGUGGAGCAAACAGUGCUUCAAGAAUUUAUACUUGGUAAGUUAUCACUUCAGGCCAGCCUGGGAAUGCAUCAGACACUAGUCGGUAUUGAGAUGUAGAAAGAGGAGGGAUAUUCUGAAAACUAGUACGAAAUGAGUAAAAAAGCAUAGAAUCAGAAAAAUAAAACAGUUAUUCAGUAGACAUAGUGAGGACCAGAAAUUUUCAGGGAUGAGAGAUUGGGGUGUAAUUCCAUGAAAGUAGAUUGAGAUCAGUUUGGGAAGAACCUUGAGUGCCAGGCUGAGGGGACUUGACAUAAGUAUAGAUUUUUAAAAAUCUUCUUGGAAGGACAUCAGACAGCUGUAGAAGCAAAAUACAAAAAUUUCAGAGAGCUAGGAGCCCUUCCUCAGUGAGUCGAUAUGGCCAGCCAUUUACUUCUCUGGGAACACUUGUCAAGUCCUAGGCCUGUGCUGAGGAUUGAGCUUGGCAUAAGCAGAUAAACUCUAGUAGAGGAAAAAGAAAGCAGUUGAACACUUGAAUUUGGGCUGAUAGGACUAAUUGAAAUCUAGAAGAGCCCCAGAUACAUGGCUGGUUUUCAAUGUGAGACAUUCACUGAGAGUUUGUAGGGGAGGGGGCAUGGUGUGCUGGGAGACUGGGCCAGAAAAAUUCCAGAGGAAUAUCCCACAGUCUUUUUUGGGAGUAAAUGCUUAGGAGACAAAGCUCCACUAGAAUGAGGGCCUUACUACAAACACACCUUGAGUCUUGCUCUUGAGACAUUUGAAACUCGAGUAAGACUAUGUCUAACUGAAGGUGCCAUUGAGCACUGAUCUAGCUCAGAUUCUGGUAAGAAUGAGGUGAUCUCCCCCAUAUUCUAACAUAGGAAAGAGUAAACUGUCUCCUGUUGAAAAUAACAUUGAUUUUAGUUUUUAUGAUUCUCUUAUACACAACAUCCAGCACAUAGUAAAAUGUUAUGAGGCCUAUGAAGAAUCAGGAGAUAUUUGAAGAGAUAAUGGUCAAGACUUUUCCAAAAUUGAAAGAAUCAGCCCACAGAUUCAGGAAGCUCAGCAAACUCCAAAAUAAACACAUAGAAAACCAUCCUAGACAACUAUUGUCAAACUUCUGAAAACCAAGUAAAGAUAAAUUCUUAAAAGUAGCAAGUGAAAAACUAUUCAUUAUCUACAAAAAGAAAAAGUUAUAUCUGACUUUUAAACAGAAUGAUACAUGACUUUUCAACACAAACUAUGGAAGUUAAAUGACAAUGAUAUGACACUUUAAAAGUGCUGAAGGUGUGAGAAGGGUCUAGAAUUUUAAAGCCAGCAAACCUGAGAAUUGUGUAUCUAGUAAAAAUAGCCUUGAAAAGUUAAAGCCAAGUAAAAAUGUUUUCAGACAAAAAAAGAAAAAGCUGAGAUACCUACUACAGAAAGUAUUAAAGGACAUUCUUCAGUUAAAAGGAAACUUAUUCCAGAGAGAAGCAUGAAAUGCAGGAAGGGAUGAAGCACACAUAAAGGGUAAAUAUGUGGGUAAAUUUAAAAUAAUAUUGACAACUUAAAAUUACUAUAUUAUGUUUUUACACAAAUAUAGAAGUAAAGUAUGUUAGAACAGUAGUACAAAAGGCAAGAGGAUUUAAAUAGAAUUAAAUUGCUUACAGGUUCUUCCAUGCUAGAAAUGGCAAAAAUAUCCAUUUACGUUUGAGCCAGAAAAAUCUCAAAAUAAGUCAAACAUUCAUUUUUUAUUUUUAAAAUAUAGAAAAAAUUCUAAUAGUAAAGUGGAAUAAUACAAAUGCCAUUUAUUAAUACAAAAGAAGGCAGGAAAUAAGGGUUAUUGGAACAAAGGAGGGAAAAAUCAAAAGCAAAUAGCAAUACAGUCAACUUAAGCCCAGCUAGAUCAUUACAUUAAGUGUAAAUGAACAAAAUAUUGUGAUUAAAACUCAAAGAUUGAUUUUUCACACAUUAAAAGAUAUUUUUAAAAAAUGCCAAUAAGUUACAAGUUACAUAAAAUGGAUAAAUUUUUUGAAAAAUACAAUUUAACAAAAGUAACUCAAGAAGAAAUAAAAAGUCAAAAUAGCCCUAUAUCUGUAAAGGAAAUUGAAUUUGUAGAAUUCAAGGUGUAAUUUUAAACCUCGCCUUAAAGAAAUCCAGAAUUUUCAGAUUCUGUGUAAGAUGCAGAAGGCCAGAAAGAUUAUAUUCCCAACAUAAGAAUAAGAAAAAGGCAGCUAAUCUACAAAAUCAUAAAUGUGUAUGAAUCCUUUAGAAAGCUGAGAUCACACGUUAACCAAUUAGCCUGACAUUUAAUGAAAAAAAACUUCCACCCAGUUGAGACAGGAGACAAGCACUGUUUCACCCAAAGCUGGGCAUGGAAUGAAGACGAGCUGUUACACAAGUGUAUCAAAUAAUUUACAUAUUAUUUGCUAAAGACUUGAGUGUGAGCUACUGUGAGAGCAUAGAAGCUCUGAGAACUUCAGACACUAAAGGGGGAGUUCAAAACUACUCGUAGACUGUUCCCUAUGGAGUUCACUGUGUGAUCAUCAGAAGAUUGGGAGAAAGGCUGGAGACCACAGAAAAUUUCCUUCAUAGUGCAGGCUUAGGCCGGGCGCGGUGGCUCAAGCCUGUAAUCCCAGCACUUUGGGAGGCCAAGACGGGUGGAUCACGAGGUCAGGAGAUCGAGACCAUCCUGGCUAACACGGUGAAACCCCAUCUCUACUAAAAAAUACAAAAAAACUAGCCAGGCGAGGGUGGCGAGCCUGUAGUCCCAGCUACUCAGGAGGCUGAGGCAGGAGAAUGGCGUAAACCCAGGAGGUGGGGCUUGCAGUGAGCUGAGAUCCGGCCACUGCACCCCAGCCUGGGCGACAGAGCAAGACUCCGUCUCAAAAAAAAAAAAAAAAAA